UCCGGUUUGUCACCGGCAGUCUCCCUAGAGUCCCCGGCAUUAUCCGCUGGCAACUAAGGACAGGGGUUGCGCUCGUUGCGGCACUUAAGCCAACACCUCACGGCACGAGCUGACGACAGCCAUGCAGCACCUGUGCUAGCCCCUUACGGACACGGGCUUUCACCCGCUUUAACUAGCAUGUCAAACCCAGGUAAGGUUCUUCGCGUUGCAUCGAAUUAAGCCACAUGCUCCGCCGCUUGUGCGGGCCCCCGUCAAUUCCUUUGAGUUUCAGUCUUGCGACCGUACUCCCCAGGCGGGAUACUUAAUGCGUUAGCGCCGGCACCCGGGGACUAUGUAACCCCGGACACCAAGUAUCCAUCGUUUAAGGCGUGGACUAC
rnacentral:misc_RNA from 1 species